AAAAACCUUUCCUCAAGUUGUGGUAUUAUGUCUCAGCAACAAGAAGGUAACUAAGACAAUCCAUUAUUCCUCACACAGUACCGGGGAUCGAACUGGGGACCUUGCACUUGAGAGACAGAUGGAGGAACCACUGAGCUAAAUCCCCGGCCCCAUGACCUCUGUGUCUGAUGGAACUGUCUGCUCAGACUGGCAAAACCUCAUCCUAAAACUGAAACAGACCUAAAGGAGCACAAAACACACGACUGUGCGGAAAUGGCCUUUCCCAACUUGCUCGUGACAGGAGGGAUGGUGGAAAAGGCCCUGACCUUGAAGAUGAGCCUGGGACUGAGCCCCAGUGGUAACUUCCUGACUGCGAGACCUCCAUAAGGCACCUGCGCUGCUCAGGCCCGGUUUCUCAGCUGCCAGGAUAGCAGCAAUCAUGACGCCUGGUGAGGGAGGCCGAGGUGUGCUACAGAGGAUACAAGAAAUAGAAGAUCGGCAAUAUUAACAAUAACGGGAAUGAUGCUCUUCAUCUUUAUCGCUGUCUUAUGGGAAGAAAUAAUUCUUACACUGUCAAGGUGAUGCUGUUUCAUCGAUAAAAUGGGAAUAAUGUAGAUUUUUAAAACUUAUAUUCCAUCUUUAGAACACCAAAUACCACUGUAACCACCACUUACUCUAAAUGACAAAUACUGGUGCUUAGCACUGAUCUUAGAAAACAAU